UACAGAGGUCCCGAGCGUUGUUCGGAUUCACUGGGCGUAAAGGGUGCGUAGGUGGUUAGGUAAGUCCGAUGUGAAAUCUCCAGGCUCAACCUGGAAAUGGCAUUGGAUACUAUUUAGCUUGAGGAGUGGAGGGGGGACUGGAAUUCUCGGUGUAGCAGUGAAAUGCGUAGAUAUCGAGAGGAACACCAGUGGCGAAGGCGAGUCCCUGGACAAUUCCUGACACUGAGGCACGAAAGCUAGGGGAGCAAACAGG
rnacentral:rRNA from 1 species